rnacentral:lncRNA from 1 species
CAAGCAAUUUGGCUGAUGAGGAAUCGGAUUAGUCUAGUUCAAAGACUUUUACUGUAGACCAGGUUCGGCUGUAAGAGCCGAUUGUACGGAAAGCACAGGAUUUUGAGUCGGCUGACGAGCCGAAUGCUUUUAUAUAUUGGAGUUAACUUGUAAAAAUAGUAUGAGGGACGAGUGUGCCUAAGGGCAUACAGACUUGAUUAAUCUACCUUAACUCUACUCCUAGGAAAACAGUAUGUGCGGGAAAGUAAAAUAUUACAAGUAAACUACUCUUAGAAAAUACAAGAAAAUUACAAAGGAAUAAAAGGUGGUCUUCUGUUCUUGGGAAAAAGACCUCUUUUCUGAGCGUUAUUUGCCUAUUUAUAGAUCAUCCCUGCUAACCCGUUAUUCCCUAUCCAUGAUCGGCCACUAUUCCUAUUUUUUCGGGCUAUUUCCAGCCGAUCGGAACCGCCUGUAACCACUCGCAGUUACUGGCGGUUACUCAAUAUUAUUGUUGAUGCUCUCGGUGCACAUCAAAAUCUUCUUUAAUCCUUGCUUCUUAAAGAUUAGGGUUGAGUGAAGCACCAGCGUACCACCUGGCUGCACGUUAUUUGCCCAACAAUUGCCCCCUCUGUAGCUUUUGAACGGACGUUUCGAUAGCUGGCGUAAUUAGAUACGCGUCUUUCGAUACAGUCAGUUUCAAAUUCUUUGUACGGCUCCUUUUUAGCCGUUCUUUUCUUUUUUACCGCCACGAUCUCGCCAUUCCUUUUUGUCUUAUAUGCGGCAUUAAUUAGGUCAUCUUAAUUGCCGCCGUCUCUUCAUCAUUAAAACCAGUCAUUAUAGCCAGCCUCGGAACCCGAUUUGACGCGACGACUUCUCUCUUCUUCGCUAAGCUUCCUCUUCUCCACUUGCUUUUCUUUAACUCAAGCUUCGUCUUCUUCGUCUUCUCUUUUCCUUUCCCCGUCUUCUCUACUUCUCUUCUCUCCCAUCUGAGUCUUAGUCUUCUCUACUUCUUUCCCCCUUUUCAAUCCUUAGGGUUUUUCUUCACUCUUUUCCUUCGUUUUAGCAAUGGCGCCGCUUUCGCCUCUUCCUUCUUCUCCGUCAUUGGAUUACACCAUACUUAG